rnacentral:rRNA from 1 species
CCUACGGGAGGCAGCAGUGGGGAAUAUUGCACAAUGGGGGAAACCCUGAUGCAGCAACGCCGCGUGAGCGAAGAAGGCCUUCGGGUCGUAAAGCUCUGUCCUAAGGGAAGAAGCAUGACGGUACCUUAGGAGGAAGCCCCGGCUAACUACGUGCCAGCAGCCGCGGUAAUACGUAGGGGGCGAGCGUUAUCCGGAAUCACUGGGCGUAAAGGGUGCGUAGGCGGCCAAUUAAGCCAGAGGUGAAAGGCUACGGCUCAACCGUAGUAAGCCUUUGGAACUGAAUGGCUUGUGUGCAGGAGAGGAGAGUGGAAUUCCUAGCGUUGCGCUCGACUGCAGAGACAUAAGUAGAUAAGCGAGUGGUGCAAGGUAGCCUCUGAACUGCAACUUAUGCCGAGCGACACAAAAGUGGUGAGCAAAAACCAUUAAUGGAAUCCCUACCC